UUCAAAUGAAUUCUUUUUCUGAGUUUUCAAGAGAACUAGGUUUAACUUUGCAUGGUGUUGAUUUGAAAUAACUUUUGAAUUAAAGAUAGCAUGGAUAAAAGAGCAUUCUCAGGAUGUUCUGAAGUACGUUGUGUCUUUCUGGAUCUCCACUUUGGCCUUUGUAGUAGCCUGCCUUAAAACCAAAACAAGCAAAUAAAAACCCAACAAGAAUAACAAAACCAAACACAAAACCACAUUUGUACCCAUCCAUGUGUGCAUAUAUAUAUAUAUAUAUAUGUAUAUGUACACACAAUAUCUACAUCUACAUGCAGGGACUGUGCUUAUUUGAGUGGCAUGUGGCAUAUUUACCAGUGUUUUUGCUUUCUUACUCUGUGCCUUUUAAGCUAUUAAUUGAAAAUAUGUGGUUUGUAGAUGCUUUUUUUCCCUCAAAUCAAAUGGUGCCCUCUGAAAGCCUAGUUUAGCUCGACAAUGAAUUUAGCUUUCAGGUUUUGGCCAUUGCAAUAUUGUUUGAAUGCCACCAUUUCCUGCAAUCAAUGUAAUUUUAUAUCUACUUGGAAUAGAAAGUCAAGAUGGUGAUUGCCUUAAUUUAACUCAGUGUUGUAUUCAUUAAGGAGCUGAUCUCGAAUUCCUUUCAGAUCAAAGUCUGUCUUGAUUUCAGUGGAACCUUUUGGCACACAAGGUGUGCAGUAGCCUUCUAAAAUGUUGUCAUUGUGACUAGUGAAUAAAAACUAAAUGUGUUGCUAAAUUUAGGCUGUUGCUCAUGUCAGCUUCCUUUUCUAAAUGACGGUAAGUGCAUUCCAUAAAUAGUAUGCCUCUUAUGUUGUCAUAUCUCUUUGGCUUGCUUUGCAGUAUUUUACAGGAUAUUUGCAAAUGAAUUUUGUGUUCAGUAGGCAGGGGAUGAAAAUAACACUACUCAUUGGGACUCCAUUAACCCGCAGCUAAUGAUGAACCAUUUCAAGGGCUGGAGGAGCGUAAUUCAGAUUAGCCUGUGUGCCAGGCUGCUCCGCUCCUGCUCAGGCUCAUGCCAUGGUCCGGGGGGACAGAGCCCGGUGUGACACAGCCGGCACUUCGGCACGGACUUUUGUCGGUUAAGGUUUCUGUGCUUCAUUUCCCUUUUUGGAAGGUAGGAGAGAAGAGUGAGAGUGUGUGUGUGUGUGCGCGCACGUGUGCACGCGUAGAUAGGUGACAGUGAUCUUGACCUCCAUAGUGAAGUGUUUUGAGACGUAAUGAAAUACUCUACGAACACUAUACUUGUGCCUGUGGGUUGACAGCAUUGUUACUUGUAGAAAAGGGUACUACAUGGUGACAGUAAAGGUGGUCCAGACUGGCCCUUAAUUAAUUUUAUUUUCAAAAUCUAUAUUAGUGACUGUCAUGAGGGCACCUGGGCACUUUACAUCAAUAAAACAAUCAAUUUAAAAAAUGUGUAGACCAGAACUCUGUGUUCACUAACAAAACUCCUGUUCCUCGUUACGACUAAAGGUCAGUCCAAGGCUGGCCAAGCAAGCAGGACUCGCGUUUCUGCUCCUCGGCGCUUGCCAGACGUGGCUCUGGCGGAACACCACAGGCAGCAGCUUCCAGAUGCCCGCGGUCCUUGCGGAGAACGUCUUGCUGCUGGCCGAUGACUUGUUAACCCCCUCCAAGUCUGAAAUUGGUUUCAGGACCAAUGGAAAAGGUGGAGGCCAGUCUCAAUUAAAAAUGCGACUUCAGCAUUUGUGAGCAGCCCACUGAAGUACAGAGACUUGGUGGAGCUGUGUGGCUGGAGUAGAGCACAAGAGAGAGGCUUCGUUCUGAAGAGCAGGCUAGAGAUCUCUUCGCUGAAGAAACUUUAUUGAUGAUAAAUGUUACAUUAUGCAAGCUUAGCAAAUUCUCUAGGAAUAUAAUGCUUCCCAGCUUUUUCUUAACAUGUGUUAAUAUUUUAUGAUACCUGUGCAUUAAGGGCCAGUUCCUACAAGGUUUAAGUGAGUUUGGGCUGCUAAAUUGCCUUUAUGGACUUUUAAAAAAACACUACCGAUCACUAUGGAUUAGCUAAAUUCCCAAUCUUGCUUAACAUGCUGAUGUUAUAAAAUCAGCUUGUUUCUGUUUUCAAUGCAUUAAGUGAGCAUAUGUAAUUAAAUUAGAUGUUGUUGCAAAGCUGCAUUUUAUUUAUUUGUGUUGGUAUAUUUGGGGCGAUAAUCCAACUUUAAUAUAUACCUGAUUGUGCAAACAACACAGAAACUAGGAGUUCCUGGACACUGGUGUAAUUUUUUUUAAAAGCGAAAUGGUAAUAUAUUUGCAUGUCUUGAAAUCCAAUUGAACUCAAGCUGAGCUUAAAAAUCCAAGAUCUGAUUCAGGAGAAUUCAGUCCCAUCUGGCCGGUGGGUAGCAGGUGUGCAGUGUGUCUGUGUAAGGGAGGGAGGUGAUUGCAGCCAGUGCAACAUUUCUCUUUUCCUGUAAAGCUUUAAUUCCAGUUUAAUGGCGUGGUCUAAGGCUCUCUGCAGUUUAAGUUCUUGCGUAAUUACCAGUGUCUAUUGUUGGUCUCCAUUUCUAGAUAACAUGAUGGUGAUGGUGAAUGGCAGAAGUAACUGUGCAGCAUUAUGGAGAAAUACGGUUUCUAAUUCAUAAAGUUUUGACUUAAUUUCUGAUCACACCCAAGACUUUUGCAUGGGAGAGUGCAUUUUUACAAACUGAUAAAUACAUGAUCCUUGAAGACUCAAGGAGGAAGGUUUCAUCGUGGUGUUUGGUGCCAAGGCGUUUUUGAGGGUUGUUGUGUGUCCCAACAGCAACAUAGAGGUUUGUUUCAUCUUUUUAUUUUUAUAAAAGCAAAGAAAAUGUAUUAUGCCAUUUCUAUUUGCAGCAGACUGUAGACAUGUUCUACAUUUUUGUAUUACUGUGAUUAUAAUGGAGAGUUUUUUAAUCUUUACUUCAGACAACUUUACUGGUCCAACUUUAUACCUCGUAACCUUCAGAAACUUGUCCCAGCCAUUCUCAUUUUCCUCUUUCUCCUUCCUUUUCUUCAUCUUUUGAUCAGAUACUGCCAGUUAUCCUCUGCCUGGGAGCUUUUUACUUAGGAGGUUUAAGAACCUGCUCUUCCUUGACUUUUAGCAUUAGCUACCAAGUCAGCUUCCUUUUACACUCCUGUCAACUCUUCCAACUUUUAAAUAUUUCCUAUUCCUUUUACUUGUCUUUACUGCUGUAUAACUUUGUGCUGGAAAGUCUUUCAGCACAUGUGGUUUUUAUGGGAGUUGGCAGGCAAAGCACCACUUACUUAACAAAAUAAGUAAGAAAGCAGUCAUACUACUUUUCUAGUUUUUAACUUCACGCUACUGCAGUAAUGACACUGCUACUGUAUUUCACGGGUUUUUUUCAUGGUGAACUGAUUUAAUUUCUAACGUAGAGCGAAGCUGGUGCUGUGCUGCCAAGGCAAGUCCAUCUGUUUAGACAGACAAAAUGAUAAGUGUUUCUCUGGACAUCCUUGUAAAAAUCUCCCUUUUAUUUGUUUGUUUUACAAAGUUAAAUAGAAGAGGUCACCCCCUUUGACAGAGCAAAUUCUUUUUUUUUUGUCUUAGCAAUAGGGCUUUGCAUGAAAACAUUUUUUUAUUAAGCAAGUCAUCCAUACUGCACUGUAGGCUGUUUGAGUGUAACAGUAUGUUACAGUCUGCAAAGUUAAUGCAGUUAAUAUUCAACUGAACUUUUGGGGGGUUGCUAAUCCCUUAGGCAGGCUUAGCAGAAAGGGCAAACAUAUUUAUAGCACUUUGAAUCAGACUGCAGUGAACGACUAAGAGUAUGUGUUAUACCAUGCAAAUGUUAUACAAUUUCAGGAAAGCUCAGUGCAUAAUCAUCUUUUAAUAGUACUUAAGUUGGUGAAAAAUUUUAUCUGUAAGCAACAGAGUUGUUGGUUCAGCGGACAACAGGUCUGUUAAAAUGAGACUCUGUGAAAGGUUUUGAGAUUCCUGUUCUGGUGAUAAAUUCUGCAAGUUCUGAACAGAUUUAUGGGCGGUUUAAUUGGGAGCUAACUGUAGUCUUUAAGCUCUGUCAUUUGUAUUGUUCCCUAAUAGGAUUUCCUUGGACUUAGUCACAUAUCUGACUCUGUGUGCAGGGUUGUCAAUAGCGUAUUCCAUAUAGACCACAGUCUCUUACUAUCUUUGUAAAAGUAAGAUCACUCCUGAAUGGUCUUCCCUCCAGAGUAGAAGUAUGACAAUUGGGUAGAGUUUGCUUUGGUUAGAGCCGUGGGUGCACUGGGCAGAAGAAACGAGAAUUAAGUCACAAGUUGCGAGAAGUUCAUGGAGAAGCUGAAGUGCUCCGACUGAGAAUGUGUAACAAGGAGGACCACACUUCUGCGAGAUAGAAACUCUCCAUAUUUAUGUCAUGGUCAAAACCUGUAUUAAGUGUAAGGUUAAAUGGAAAAGCACGUGAAGGCCAUGUAAUGCUACCAACUCGUCAGGAGCCAGAUAAAAAGAAAUCAUGAUCUUGGAUUUUACACAGAACUUGGUUGUGUAGAGUUUUUAGACUCUUGUAGAGUUUUUAGAGGCCCAUCAACUGGAGAGAGGCAGAUUAAUAUCAGACUGCAAACAACUGUAGUUGAUAUGGGAGAGUUUUAAGGUGAAAAUAUGACGCCAUACAAACAUAUAAUACAGACCUGGAAAAGUGGCUGUUUUAUUCUAACUAUUUUUGAUGGAUUUUACAGUUUGAUUACUUCUUCCAUUUUUUUCUAGAUUUUAAAUAUUGGAAUGAGUGACUACAACAUGGAACUUGACCUUAAAGAGGGCUCAGGUGCCAGAAUUUAUGCAUGUACUCAAGUAAUUUGUUGAUUUGCCAUCUUACCUGCACCUGCUCUUUUCUUUUUGCUCUUCAUAAACAACGUUGGCCAUUUGUAGUUUUUCAGGAAAAAAAGUUAUACAAAAUAAUUAACGCGUCAGAAUUGUUAGGAAAAAUUUGAAAAAUCUUUUUAUUUGUUAUAUUUUCAGUUAAAAAUAAAAUAACUGAAUACCAGACUAAGUUAAAAUUGUGUACUGGAGUUGUUGUUAUCUGAAGUACCAGAAAAUAACUAGUUUAUUAUAUGCAAAAGUUUGAAUUCUAGAAUAUAUUAAAAUAUUAGCUCAAAGGUCAAAAGCAUCACCAGAGGAAGGAAGGAAAUUAGAGGGGAAUUUGGGCUAAUCGGGUUAAGAUGCAGGAGGCCCAUAACGGGUGCACAGGGAUGAUGUGGCUGACACUCAUGUGGGUUCCUUUGGUUCCUCAGCCCCAAUGUCCCCAGCUCGUGGCUGGAUCAUGUAGUUUGUGUCCAAAUCCUAAGCAAGAUUCAACCUUAUAAGGUUCUCUAAUGAGACUCCAUAACAUUUCUGUCAUUUUAUUAAAUAGUAAAUACAGACAUUUGUAGUAAAGGCCUAACUUCACAGGGUGUGCUGGUGAAGGUGUGCUGGAGCUACACAUCCUGCAGCCAUCUUGGAGCUUAGAAAUAAGUUAAACUGUCUGCAGUUUUAUUGGGAAAACAAAGAGUUAACAUGCCAGUGAUGUUAACUGUGAUAAAAGGUAUGUGUGUGUGUUACUGUGCUGUACUCUAUACAUUUAUGAGCUCUUUUUAUAGUAGCAUUCCCAGCAGCAUUCCCAGGAGCAGUCCAGGUCCAAUCAGGACUGGUAUGCCAUUGUGUGAGGUGUUGUUCUAAUUCAUGUGUAAAUGUGGAGUGGUUGCUGCCCUGAGGAUAUUACAGUGAAAUUACAAACAGGAUAAAAAAUAAUAGGAGGUGCGGAGGAGGAGGGCAGCUGUGGUGAGGUGCACUUGUCUCAUCGGGGUUGCGGUACAUACAGCCCGAUACCAAAUCAUGGGUAUUUCACUUAUUUAAAAGUCUGCUGCCUUCAAAACAAUUAGGCUCAUUGUCUUUCAUUUGUGUCUUAGUUAUUGAAACAGAAGAGUAGAAAGUAUGAAAAGAAUUGCUUCUGAGAUCUUUCUAGCCUCCUGUUUCUAGCAGUGGUCAACCCCAGGCACCUCAAGGAAAGUUAUAAGAGCCUCACAAUGGGCAGAAAUGGAGUAAUCUUCUCUCUACACGGUCUCAUCCUAAUAUUUCAUUAUUAGGGAUUAAUUUAAGCUUUGAAGCAUGAGGUUUUUAAAAAAUUACAUUUGUUGUUCCCCCUCCUCCACCGUCAAUAUUGUUUAAAGUAUGAAAUAUCCUCCCAAGGCGGUGAUCUGAGCUGUUCUCCUUGGUGUGCUGACCAAAUUUGCAGCUUGGGAAUUACCACGGUGGUUCUGCUUCCUCUGGUGCCAGAAGACUCUGGUAGAUCCUUUUCCACAGCAGAGUUCUGUUUGGGAAGCAAAGAAAGAGAGAGGCAGUAUCGGAUGCCGAAGCCCAGACAGCCAGGCACAGAGUCUAAAAAGCCAUCUAACAGUCGUCUUUCUGAAAACACACCCAUUAGUAUGCAGUGUUUUCACUGCUGUAAUAAUAAGAGCAAUCAUGAUACGAACAAGUCCAUCUCUUCACAGCCUUCCCACGCGGGAUGGAGAAUGACAGCUCCUAAAGCAUUUGGAUAUUUGCCUGAAUGUAUGCUGCUUAGCUAACCACGGUUCAACUUGCUCUCCAUCUUAUGGCUUCCUGGAUAUCCUUCUCAAUUGUUUCGGUGACAGCUUAAAACGUGAGACUUGGAGGGGAGAGAUAAAAGCUUAGCAAAAGGCUUUUUGUGUGUGUAUUUAAGGGGAAGUUUUAUUACGUUUGAUGAUGGAGGGAUGUGCCACACUAUUUUCUGUUCCUACAAUUUUAGUAUUUGCACUUUCUGUUGUACUGAUAGCAGCCAAUCCAUAACGUUGUCUUUCUGUUUCCCACUCUGGAGGGGGAAAAAUACACAGAAGAAUACAGAUUGAUGGGUUUGUCUUCUGACAUCACAAUUUUGGUUCUGAAACAGUAAAAGAAAGCCUUUUUCCCAGUGAUCCGAAAGAUCUCUCUAGAACAUCUGCCUUUACACACUCAUGCACAUAUGCACACACACAUAUGCACGCACAUGUGCACAGGCUCUCACUAAGGUGGCUAUGAUCUGUUUUUAAUAGUGGCACUUCUUCUCAAAGUGUCAUUUAAAAAAACAUCAGCAGUCAUGUCAUGCAUCGGGAUGAAUUUCUAAAUGUAAAUGAGAUUCUCUCAGUAAUUUAUUUACAUUUGUUUUCAGCACAACAAAUGAGACAUCACGUAGCUUCAUAAUUUCCCAUGACCGAGUCACCAGCAUGAGGUGUGUAAUUUACCCUGAUUUAAGAUGCUUAUCUAGAGGUUCUUGCAACAAUACCUGGUGAGGUUUUUCACUAGUACUUUUUGUUGGCUUUUAACCCAUUUACUUCACCUUCUUCUCCAUUUUUCAGUUGAAAAAGAAGCAUAAAUGUGUCUGCUUCUUGAGGCCUUUUUUCAGUAGAGCCAAAAACGAUGGCUUUGUUGCCUUGUUUUGUAUAUUACUUUCCCUGCUAUUUCCUUCUCAUUUGGUAAAACUCAUAGCAGGCUUCCAGCAGCUAGACUGAACCUAUCCUGAUUUACAAUCUGAUGAUGCAGGAAGGAAAUGUUGAUUGUGGACAUUUCUGACGGGAAAAUGAUUGUUUAGAUGUGAAGCAUGAAUGGGAAGUGUCCUGCAGUCAUUACUUCUCCACUUUUUUCAGCUAAAAUACUAAAUCAUAGGCCUGGUCUUGGCUCUGCUACUGACUUUGAGUUUUCUGAUCUUCCUGUGGCUGAAGUGAUACUUAGAUUGAGAGGGGACAUGAAUGCAGUUUUCAAAUAAUGUGGACAGAGUCAUGUACUACAAAGCCCAUUUAUUUUAAGUCCGUAGUUGGAACAUUUAGAUGCCUAACUACUUGCUUGAGUAUUUCAAGUAGGUAGAUGAUUAAAGGUGCAAUGUACCAUGCAUACAAUUUUGUACCUCUUAUCUUGCAGCCUCUGUUAAGGCUUGACUAAAAAUCAGUGCAAUAGCUUUUCUGUUUUACAGAGUAACAACACAGGAGAAGUGAGAGACUUUUGUGAAAGUUACGGUUAGUUCAGUGGCAGUACAAAAUGCUAUGCUAUAUAAUUAUGCUGUGGCAGUAGUUUGGGAUGUUAUUAUGCAAAAAUACUGUACAUCUUUCUGGAGGUGUGCAGGGUUAAUUGUAUGUGGGUGUUCUUUUCCUCACUGAGAGGAAGCAUGACAUUUCUUUGUGUUCAUUCCCAAAGCAAAAUUCACUGUCUUCCUUUAAACUGAAUGAACAGAUUAAAAAAAAAAAAAAAAAAAAAAGAAAAAGAA